AGCAGUGUAAUCAUUCCCCCCAAAAUAAAAGUCUUAACUCCCAAUUAAACUGUAAGCCCCUCAGGGUCAGGAUCGUGGCUGACCCGCCUGAGUGAAAUAAUCUUAUUUCUCUUUUUCUCUCCCUAUUUUCAUAGCCUUGUAUCCCUUGUUAUUGUUCCUGUGAAUUGGGUUCCUAACUGGCCUCUGACCUCCCUCCCAUCCCAUUCACUCCGAUACAGAACUGAUCAUAGCAGUAUUUUGCUUAAAACCCUCACACCUCCCCAUAGGCAGCAAGAAAAAUCCCACUCCCCCCAAAAUAGCAUUUAGGACAUUUUCAAUCCUGCUAUGUCUUCCUCUGCUGUCACAUAUGCUACUUCUUACCACACAUGCUCCAAAUGCCAACCACAGAGUGUCCUUUCUCACUCAAAUGCCCAGCUCACUUUAUUUGUGAGAUUCACUAGAAUGUGUCUGUUUCCCCCUCAAAUUGGAAAAAUACCUACUCAUCCCUCAAAACCCAUCUUAAAUAUAACUGUGUUCAUGAUGUUGUCUCCAACAUUCAUAUAGGGUGCUGUUUCCUCAAAUAUCCGUUGCAUCACUGAUUAAAUUCAUGAGACUAUUUCCUUAUUUCUUCCUCUUGCUACAUGAUAUCCUGGUUUGAAGUCUGAUAUUUUUUUUUUCUCCUCAGGAAAGUUUAUUUAUGCAAAAAGGGCUGGCUCUAUUCUAAACCUGAUAAGCAAUGGUCAUUUGUUAGCAUUUCAUUGCCUUUUUCCUCAGUCAUGACUAAUCUCUAUAUAUGUGUUCUUUUUUGUUCUUAAAGAGGGAAAUAAUAUAAUUCCAUUCUUAAUGUAGGGAAAAAAAGAUUUUUAUAUUUGUUUCUUAUUGCAUGUCUGGAAGAAGGAAGAAGUGGAGUCAAAGAGGGAAAUGCGAAUAUUAGGAUAAACAGAAAAAGGAGAUUAAAAUGGAAAGGAGGAGUUCUCUCAGUGGUGCAGCAGAAUGGAACCAAUUAGGAUCCAUGAGGUUGUGGGUUCGAUCCCUGGCCUUGCUCGGUGGGUUAAGGAUCCAGCAUUGCUGUGACCUGCAGUGUAGGUCUCAGACAUGGCUUGGAUCUGUCAUUACCGUGGCUGUGCCUAGGCUGGCAGCUGUAGCUCUGAUUCCACCCCUAGUCUGGAAACUUCCAUAUACUGUGGGUGCAGCUCUAAAAGGCAAAACUAAAUUAAUUAAUUAAUCAAUCAAUUAAAAUGGAAAGGAGUUCCAGUCUUGACAUCACCAUUUAGUGCUUUUGAGCUUUUAGAGAGUCAUAAUAAAAGGAAAAUAAAACAGUAGGGGACAAAAUAAUGAAAGAUUUAUAUUAUAUUUGGAAUGAUCAACAUUUACAUAAGCUACCGUAUUCAAAAUGAGUAGAGCCAUGGCCUUAAAAUUUGACCCAGUAAAUGUCUACCUUUACUUUGAAUCACCUCUUCAUUGUUUGUCUCUGUUUCCCUGUGAUUUAGUGCCUUCUUAUUUAAGACACAGCUUAAGGAUUGCCUUCUUUGAAAAGCUUUUCUUAUCUGGACAAAUGGGGUCAUGCAUUUGUAUGAGGGGGAAGGGGAUUCUUCUCUACUCCCAUAGACCUUGUGAUUCCUUCUAUAAUAGCAUCUUGUGCAGUCUUGACAGUGUAUCAUUUAUUUUCUCCCAGUCUAUCUAUCUAUAGAAUGGGGAGGUCUAUUCUAAAUGUGUAACUCAGUUCUUAGUGAAAGGUAACUAUUUAAUGAAUAUAUGUUAGACAAUUAAAAUGUGAGCCCCUUACAAUGGCUUUCAUCUUUAUAAAGACAUUUAGAGACCAUGCCAGCUUUAACCUCUUUUGGGUCCCUUGUUCCUCCCACAGUUUUCUCUGCAGUGCUUAGCAAGGGGUUGUAUACAGUGGCUAUCAGACAGUUUCUGCUGAUGGAAAGGAAUCUAAGGAGAUAUCAUGAUAUUAAUCUAUUUUUAAAACUAAGAUUGCAUUAUUAAUCAUUUUAUGCCAUGUCUCUCAGUGUUUUUCCAUUUUACCAAUAGUAAUAGAAGGCUCCAAGAGGUUGAAUUUUUUUCCUCAAAAGGAUUGUGAUAAAACAAGGGUUUAAAAAUCUCUACUUCUCUUCCAAUCCCCACAACACACAAUUCAACACAAUCAGCAUUCAUUGCAGUGACAAGAGGUAAUUGCCAUCAUCCAUAGUCAAUUUUAAAAACCUAGAGGAUGCUUAACCUAAAAACACAAAAGUAAAUGAUGUAUCAAUAUGGAAACAAUUUUUUCCCCUCUAGAACAUCACCUACUGCUUUAUUAAGUUUUAUCACGGCUAGAUAAUUUUUAUCAUAGAAAUAAUGUGCUAUGAUAUUCCUUUAAUGUUAUACUUCUUCUACUUUAUCCUUCUCAGUUGUUAGCAGAGCACUUUCAUAUGUGUUUUAAUCUUUGAAGGGAGGUGAACAAUUUCUGUAGGUCCAUGUCACAGGUGAGGAAAAUGAGUCUGAGGUUAAAUUAUUUCAAGAAAAUUGCCAUGAAUUUAAAAGGCAGAGCCCGGCUGGAAUUCUGUCAGGAAAUGAUCUUGCUGAGGUCAUAAUCUCUUUUGCCAAUAAGUGCAUGUUCUAUUGUUUCUUUUGUGGUAAUGUGGUCAUGGCCUCACAAUUCUGAGAAAUGUGUCCAUGUCCCAUCUUUUUCUAUACUUUGGAAGCUUAAAAUAUUCUUUUAUUGUCUUGACCUAUUUCCCUGACAGAAUCAUUGGCAUAUAUGAAUAAUUAAUGUUUUAUUGUUUAAUUAUUCCCUAAUACUGCUACUUUGUAAUCUUAUGAAAACAUUGUUCACAUUAUAAUCUUAACGUAGUAUUCAUUUACUAUGUAAACAUUUGGCAAAUAUUUCACUAAUGCAGUGGAAAUACAGGGAUAUACAUUUAAGAAAAUACACGGAUUCCUUGAGGUCAAAUUGACUUCAUCCAGUGUGAUCAUUUCUCAUCAUUUAGAAAUGGCUUCUUUUGCAUUGUGUGAAGAAUUAUGAAGCUGUAUUCAGCCUUGAUAAAUAAGGGUGCUAAGAUCAACUAGUAAUGUCUGCAGUGGGAAAAGGAUAGGAAAUGGCUGCACAUAGGUCAAAAAUGCCUGGUGUGUUGGGUAGUAUUCUUUUUGAAUUUAUUUAGUUGUUUUUUUUUUUUUUACAGUGAAAAUAUGGUAUAUUUUAGACUUUAUAAAUAAUAUGUGCUCAUCAAAAAAAUUAAAAAAAACAAAGACCAUGUUUAGGAAUAAAGUAGAAACUAUGCUUUAAUCUGAGCUGCUUUCCAUUAAUGUCUUGGUGAUCAUUUGUAUAUAGUUCGCUGUAUGUUUACAACAUGUGCGCAGAUAUUUAUACACUGUAAAUUUACAUAGACUGUUAUACACAUAUAUUUGUUUUGGAUAUAAACGUCUUUAUUUUUUAUUUUCUUAAAGUAUUUUUGUACGUUUAUUUGUUUGCUUGCUGAUCCACUGGCAAUCUUCUUCUUCCUUCACAACUCCAUACUAAGUAGCUCAUAUAAGCAGCAUGAUAGUAUUUAUCCACGCAGAUGUAGUCACACAAAUCUCUCUCUUCCUCAGAUACAUACAAAGCAUAGAUACAAUGUAUCUGUCAUUGUUUGUUUAGAAUGUCUUUCACAUACUUCCCUAUGUCUUCCUUUUUCUCUUUUAACAAAACAGCCUAGAAGCUGCUCCAUGUAAACUACCAUAGGUAUUUUCUCUGAGUGUGUUUCUAUAGUUAACAAGACAUUUUAUUUUAUUUUAUUUUAUUUUAUAUUUUUUUAACAAAGGUUUGGGUUUUUUUUGUUUUUGUUUUUGUUUUUUGUUUUUACUUUUUAGGGCCACACUUGCAUCAUAUGGAGGUUCCCAGGCUAGGGGUCCAAUCGGAGCUACAGCUGCCAGACUACACCACAGCCACAGCAAUGCCAGAUCUGGGCCGAAUCUGCAACCUACACCACAGCUCACGGCAACGCCAGAUCCUUAAUCCACUGAGCAAGGCCAGAGAUGGAACCCGCAACCUCAUGGUUCCUAGUCAGAUUCAUUUCUGCUACACCAUGACGGGCACUCCUAACAAGGCAUUUUAAUAUCUGAUUUCUAAUUCCGCUUCAAUAAACCCCUGAGGUGGUUAUACCAGGUAUUAUUAUUUUUUGUUCUUAUGAUAAGUAAAUGAUGAGUCAGAGAAAUCAAGUGACUUUUUCAUGUCUGACAGGCAUUGAAUGACAAGGAAAAAAAUAAGUUUACCUAGAUCUUCCUGUUCUAGGCCUAGUAUCUUCUACUCUGCUAAUAACUGCCACAGUUAAGUUCAGGAUUUUUCCAGAAAAGCUCAAGGAAAAGAAAGAAGGGCUUUGUACUCUGAUAUUUACAUUUCACUUACCCAAUGUCACUGUCGUAAUAAUCUACCUUUAGAGUAUUAUUGUACCCAUUUUCCAGAAUAAGGAUCUGAGAUCAGAGUUCAUAGAACAAGCCCAAACUCCCUUACCUAGAUGAGGCAAGAACUAAGCCCCGUGGAUGCGGAAUGCCAAAUCAUAUUUUUUUUGCACUAUCAUACUAAAUUUGGGUUUAACAUUGUGUAUCCUUUAUUUUAGUUAUUUUAACAAAAUGCCCUUUUAAGGACAGUGUUUUUAUCAAUCGUUACCUUUUUCUAGUAAAUGGAGACUUGCAGCACAUAAAUGCAACAGAGAUGAGGGAGAUUUUCUCUGACUGAUUGGCACUUGGUGCCAUAGAAGCAUUAAUAAGAUGAACGAGACUAUCAUCCACUGUCACAUUGCACUUGUACUGAAAUAACAAAUAAACAUUAGGGGUCUAGAAUUUGGACUCCUUUGUCUGAAGAGAUUACAUUUUACCUGUGGCUUCUCAAUUUUUAAGGAAAACGCUGAGUGUGGCUGAGGCAAAAUCCUUGAAAAACAGCCAUGCUAUUUCUUUAUCAUAUAUGAAGAAUGAAAAAAGCCACACGUAUUUUGUGUCAUCCUAUCCAUUACACGUAAGUCAUAUAAAGUGCCAUCGAUUUUUUUCCCAGAUAAGAGAUGAUAGUUUGUCAGUUUCUCAAGGACAUGUUAAGAUAUGUGUGUAUGUGUAUGUGUUUAAAACUAACAGUCUUGCUGUGCAUGAGAGGCCGGCAUUUGUUUUUGUGUGGAAUUUAUAAAACCAAGAUAAAUAGUGGAUGGGUGGUAAAAAUAAAUAAAAUGCUGCUUUG
rnacentral:lncRNA from 1 species